rnacentral:rRNA from 1 species
CCCGUCACACAUGGGAGUCGAUUGCUCCAGAAGUGGCUGCGCCAACCUCGCAAGAGGAGGCAGGUCCCAAGGAGUGCUCGGUAACUGGGUG